rnacentral:rRNA from 1 species
ACCCGCUGAACUUAAGCAUAUCAAUAAGCGGAGGAAAAGAAACCAACAGGGAUUGCCCCAGUAACGGCGAGUGAAGCGGCAACAGCUCAAAUUUGAAAUCUGGCUCUCGGGCCCGAGUUGUAAUUUGUAGAGGAUGCUUUUGGUGAGGUGCCUUCCGAGUUCCCUGGAACGGGACGCCAUAGAGGGUGAGAGCCCCGUCUGGUUGGAUGCCGAACCUCUGUAAAGCUCCUUCGACGAGUCGAGUAGUUUGGGAAUGCUGCUCUAAAUGGGAGGUAUAUGUCUUCUAAAGCUAAAUACCGGCCAGAGACCGAUAGCGCACAAGUAGAGUGAUCGAAAGAUGAAAAGAACUUUGAAAAGAGAGUUAAACAGUACGUGAAAUUGUUGAAAGGGAAGCGCUUGUGACCAGACUUGGGCUUGGUUGAUCAUCCGGGGUUCUCCCCGGUGCACUCUUCCGGCCCAGGCCAGCAUCAGUUCGCCCUGGGGGACAAAGGCAUCGGGAACGUGGCUCUCUCCGGGGAGUGUUAUAGCCCGUUGCGUAAUACCCUGCGGCGGACUGAGGUUCGCGCAUUCGCAAGGAUGCUGGCGUAAUGGUCAUCAGUGACCCGUCUUGAAACACGGACCAAGGAGUCGUCUUCGUAUGCGAGUGUUCGGGUGUCAAACCCCUACGCGAAAUGAAAGUGAACGCAGGUGAGAGCUUCGGCGCAUCAUCGACCGAUCCUGAUGUUAUCGGAUGGAUUUGAGUAAGAGCAUACGGGGCCGGACCCGAAAGAAGGUGAACUAUGCCUGUGUAGGGUGAAGCCAGAGGAAACUCUGGUGGAGGCUCGCAGCGGUUCUGACGUGCAAAUCGAUCGUCAAACAUGGGCAUGGGGGCGAAAGACUAAUCGAACCUUCUAGUAGCUGGUUUCCGCCGAAGUUUCCCUCAGGAUAGCAGUGUUGAACUCGGUUUUAUGAGGUAAAGCGAAUGAUUAGGGACUCGGGGGCGCUAUUUAGCCUUCAUCCAUUCUCAAACUUUAAAUAUGUAAGAAGCCCUUGUUGCUUAAUUGAACGUGGGCAUUCGAAUGUAUCAACACUAGUGGGCCAUUUUUGGUAAGCAGAACUGGCGAUGCGGGAUGAACCGAACGCGAGGUUAAGGUGCCAGAGUAGACGCUCAUCAGACACCACAAAAGGUGUUAGUACAUCUUGACAGCAGGACGGUGACCAUGGAAGUCGGAAUCCGCUAAGGACUGUGUAACAACUCACCUGCCGAAUGUACUAGCCCUGAAAAUGGAUGGCGCUCAAGCGUCUCACCCAUACCUCGCCCUCAGGGUAGAAACGAUGCCCUGAGGAGUAGGCGGACGUGGAGGUCAGUGACGAAGCCUAGGGCGUGAGCCCGGGUUGAACGGCCUCUAGUGCAGAUCUUGGUGGUAGUAA